GGAAAACUUUGCCUAUCCCAGACUUCCUUUCUUGCUGCUUGUUUUGUUUUGCUUUGCUCUUUAAGCACAGAUUGGUCAAAACCUUGUAUAAUUGAUAUAUUUAGUAUACUGUAAAAGCCAUGGAGGUCUUUGAAAUGCACACAAGCGUAUAUUAUCCUUGUUGGGAAAGGCAAUAGUUUGAUUAUUGAUCGUUCUCUUUUGCAAAAAGAUUUUCUUUUUGUUUUUUUUUUUUUGAGACGGAGUCUUGCUCUGUCGCCCAGGCUGGAGUGCAAUGGCACAAUCUCAGCUCACUGAGCUUUUGCCUGCACUAGACUGUUGCCUGACAAAUGUAGAUUGGG
rnacentral:lncRNA from 1 species